GGUGCCUCGGUCUGACUCCUCCCCCUCCCAGCUCUGCUCUGCUCCUGACUCUCAGCUGCAUCCUAUCUUCUCAUCAAGCCUCUGCUCUUCAUAAGGAGACCCAGCUCCAGCAUUCAUCGCCAGUCCGUUAACCCUGAUGGUUAAUCUCAAGCCACGUGAGUCCUGAGUCUACACCACCUCGAGCAGCAGCUGUCUCUAUCUCCAGGCUGACGCCUUCCUUCCUCAAGAUCCACAGUCUCAGCGCUCCGAAAGAACUCCAGCCACGCCACUCGUCAAGAGCUCCAAGCACGCCACUCGCCAAGAACUCCAGCCUCGACUCCCUCAAGAGCCUAUGCCACGCUCCUCGUCAGUUACACCAGCCACCCUCCACAUCUACUGUCACGUCUGCUCACUGCCCUGUCUGGAUCAGUAAAAUAAAUCCUUCUUACCAACCUUU